rnacentral:rRNA from 1 species
GACGAACGCUGGCGGCGUGCUUAACACAUGCAAGUCGAACGGAAAGGCCCUGCUUUUGUGGGGUGCUCGAGUGGCGAACGGGUGAGUAACACGUGAGUAACCUGCCCUUGACUUUGGGAUAACUUCAGGAAACUGGGGCUAAUACCGGAUAGGAGCUCCUGUUGCAUGGUGGGGGUUGGAAAGUUUCGGCGGUUGGGGAUGGACUCGCGGCUUAUCAGCUUGUUGGUGGGGUAGUGGCUUACCAAGGCUUUGACGGGUAGCCGGCCUGAGAGGGUGACCGGCGACAUUGGGACUGAGAUACGGCCCAGACUCCUACGGGAGGCAGCAGUGGGGAAUAUUGCACAAUGGGCGGAAGCCUGAUGCAGCAACGCCGCGUGCGGGAUGACGGCCUUCGGGUUGUAAACCGCUUUCGCCUGUGACGAAGCGUGAGUGACGGUAAUGGGUAAAGAAGCACCGGCUAACUACGUG